rnacentral:lncRNA from 1 species
GGAGGCGGAAGUGACUGAUCAAUUCAGGGGCGUGGGGUUCGUUUAGGUUUUGCCCUGUGUAUGACCUCGUUUGGAGCCAUGAAACCAGGUGGCUUUUCUACAAUAUAAAGAUGGAAAUGGGAAGAAGAUGUUCAUUGCAAAUUAAGGAAGCUCUUCCACGAGUUCACGAAUGGAAAUAACAUCAAGAGUUUUUCAUCUUCUUAGUGUGCAAGAUAAAUAUCAAGGAGUGCAAUUCCUGGAUUUAUGAUGUCUGAGGAAUAGUCUUAGUGGAUUAUCCCAAACUUGACACAUUUUUUGCAAAAUGCUAUACAAAAAGAAGAUACAUGCGAUUAUGACAAGAUUCUCCACUUGGUGUGACCAGUCUCAUACAACCCAAGGCUGUGUGUCCAAAGGCAACUGUACUGAUCUUGACAAUAAUCAAAAGGUAGCCAGGUGCAUCGGGGAAAGCACUGACAUUGGAGUCAGACAGACUGAAGUUCAUAUCUGAUUCUGCUAUAUGACAACGUGUGGGCUAUGUGGCUAACUUCUCAGAGCUUCAGUUUUCUCAAGGGCAAAAUGAAAAUAAUAGAAAUAAUAGAAUCCACCUCACAGGGCUGUGGUGAGAAUUGGAGAUGAAGCACAUACAGCAUAUUACAUCAACUAAACACAUGCUAAGUACUCAACAGCUACUAACAUUAUUAUUCCUCUUAUAUGUACUGUAAAUAUUUGUAUUAAUGGACAAAUAGUCAUUCAUGUGUAUAUAUAGCUGUGUUUUAUUAGCUAAAUACUGUACUAAAUGCUAGGAAAACAAGAAUAUUGUCCCUUCCAAGGCCUUUUUUUGGUGAGAAAAGAUCUUCAAACAAUUAUAAUACAGAAUAUUAGAGUUGCAUGUGCAUACCCAGUAACACAGACAAAUUGUGCUUUUAAAUUGCCUGGGUAAGGGAGAUUUCAAAUACAGUUUUACUAAAGGAGACUAUCAUGUGGGUAGAAGAAAUAACAUAUUCGAAGGCAUAAUAAAAGGACAGAGCAAGGUGUGUCGUAUAGAAUAUAAAGGUAGAUUUAGUCUUGCUGGACCAUGAAGUUUGAGGCCCGAAGUGGAGGGAAUUGAAACUAGACCUCUAGACAGGUAGAAUGACCUCUACUGUAAUGAAAAAGGGACUAGGUUUUUAUAUUGAAAGACAUUUUGAAGAAUUUGGAGAGUUGAAUGUAUGACUACAUUUAUACAUCAGAAAUAUUACAGUCUUAUAUAUGGGGAAGUUCACAUGGUACUUGGCUAACAGUCAUGUUGAAUUUUCACUGAAUACCUGAAAAUUCACCAAGUUUGGGAUAUUAUUGGAGUGUUUGGAAUGGGUUUCACUUUGUUUAUGAACAGACAGUUGCCUAGUUGUAGUGAAUUAUAUUGUGUUCCAGAAAUUAAAUGUUACAGCCGUGCUUGGA